rnacentral:rRNA from 1 species
GACGUAGGGCGCGAGCGUUGUCCGGAUUUAUUGGGCGUAAAGAGCUCGUAGGCGGUUUGUCGCGUCGUCUGUGAAAACCCACGGCUCAACUGUGGGCUUGCAGUCGAUACGGGCAGGCUAGAGUUCGGUAGGGGAGACUGGAAUUCCUGGUGUAGCGGUGAAAUGCGCAGAUAUCAGGAGGAACACCGGUGGCGAAGGCGGCUCUCUGGGACGGUACUGACGCUGAGACGCGAAAGCGUGGGGAGCGAACAGG